AAGGAUGCAAGGGCGCACAGAAGUCUUAGUACUGAAGUACUGUGAGGCAGGAGGACCGAGGACGCGCAUCUCAAGUGGAGGUUUGUUCGGAAUGGUCAGAUUCUAGGAGGUAUUGCGGAGUUCGAAGUUUCAAAUACUGGUGACUAAUUUGGGUGACUAAAGACACAAGAUUAUGAGAGAACUUUCGCGCCCCUACUUCUUGUGAAUUUGGAUAAUUAUGAUUUGCCACAGACAUUUAUUCCCCAACUGAGAUUUCAUUGAAAGCAUCUGAAUCGUGGGAUCGUUAUUUGUAACGUGAUGGAUACAAAUGCGUUCGCUGUGUAUAAACUUUUAGUGGUUGGAAUAUUGGUGAACUCUUGGAUGGCAGGAGGAUUUACAGCCACCAAAAAUAUCACCGGUGAAUCUGGAACUCCAAAG